rnacentral:lncRNA from 1 species
CAAGAUAGUGUGAAGCAAGAUCAAUUUAUGGUGCCAACAAAAGCUUCAUCAAUGGAGGACAAAUAUUAAUCUCAAAAGCUUCGCACUAUCUUCAUCAAGAUAGUGUGAAGCAAGAUCAAUUUAUGGUGCCAACAAAAGCUUCAUCAAUGGAGGACAAAUAUCAAUCUCAAAAGCUUCACACUAUCUUCAUCAAGAUAGUGUGAAACAAAAUUAAUUUAUGGUGCCAACAAAAGCUUCACCUAUAAAGCUUCAACCCCAAAGCUUCACCUAUAGAGCUUUAACACCAAAAGCUUCACCUAUAAAGCUUCAACCCUUCAACACCAAAGCUUCACCUAUAAAGCUUCAACACCAAAGCUUCACCUAUAAAGCUUCAACACCAAAGCUUCACCUAUCAAGCUUCAACCCCAAAGCUUCACCUACAAUACAAAAUUUCAACACCAAAACAUAUAAAAGCUUCACACACUCUUCAUCAAGAUAGUGUGAAGCAAAAUCAAUUCAUGGUGCCCAACAAAGCUUCAACCUCAAAGCUUCACCUACAAAGCUUCAACACCAAAGCUUUACCUACAAAG